UUUUGAAUAUAAAUAAUAAUUCCAUGUCGAAGACUGCAAUCAUAUAUCCCAAGAACUCAUUUUGCUGAGCCAGCCAUUCUUCGUCCACGAUGGUAUUUACUUCUACUAAUGCAGCGUUGGUCAAUUUGUACAACUUACAUUGCCCUAGGUCUCCCAAAAACUAUGCCCAUUCCCAAGCUGUUGGUGGAGGGAGGGUUAUCCCCUCUCUUCGCCAACAUACGACACCAGGCGUUAAAAUUUUUCCUUAUGCAAAUCUCCCAGGGCAUUAACUCUCUGCUUAGCAGAAGCUUCCAAGACACACAAUACCUACAGUUUUACCAAUGGUGAUCGUACCAGCAACCAUUUGACUUGGUCGGCACACAACU
rnacentral:lncRNA from 1 species